rnacentral:rRNA from 1 species
AGUGAACGCUGGCGGUAGGCCUAACACAUGCAAGUCGAACGGCAGCACAGUAAGAGCUUGCUCUUACGGGUGGCGAGUGGCGGACGGGUGAGGAAUACAUCGGAAUCUACUUUUUCGUGGGGGCUAACGUAGGGAAACUUACGCUAAUACCGCAUACGACCUACGGGUGAAAGCAGGGGAUCUUCGGACCUUGCGCGAUUGAAUGAGCCGAUGUCGGAUUAGCUAGUUGGCGGGGUAAAGGCCCACAAAGGCGACGAUCCGUAGCUGGUCUGAGAGGAUGAUCAGCCACACUGGAACUGAGACACGGUCCAGACUCCGACGGGAGGCAGCAGUGGGGAAUAGUGGACGAUGGGGGCAAGCCUGAUCCAGCCAUACCGCGUAGGUGAAGAAGGACUUCGGGUUGUAAAGCCCUGUUGUUGGGAAAGAAAAGCAGCAGGUUAACCCCCCGCUGUUCUGACGGUACCCAAAGAAUAAGCACCGGCUAACUUCGUG